rnacentral:lncRNA from 10 species
GUGAUCUGUGCAAAUGUAUUGUAAUUAAUUGAGCUUUAAAAAUUGACUUUGAAGGUCUCAAGGUCUUGGAAAUGGCUGUUGGCUUGGAAAAAGGCAUCUUCUGAGAAGGUGAUCGAAGGUACUUAACUGACACGAAGCAUCUCUAAAUUUAUUUAUUUGGAGGGGGUAAUUUUAUUUAAAAAAAAAUCUUUGUGUUCAAAAUGGAUAAAAUUUACAAUUUUAAAACAUAUUUUAGUAUUAGAACAAAAUAAAGAGCAUUAAAAGCAAAUAAAUGAAUAGAUUUUUUUCUUUAAUAUUGAAGAGAUGUGGAUAAAUACACCCAAAUAAGUGUAUUUUUGGCUCUGGUUUCAGUUUUUUUCUGUUAAUAAAUGGCUUGCAGUUAGAGAAAAACAGAUUUCCCACCUCACUGCAGGGAUACAGUCACUGUCCAACAAAAAUGACGUAUUCCUUUAUCCAAGAUGUUUCCCUUUUUAAAACAUAUACCUUCAGUUUUUAUUUAAAUUGUUUUAGACAUAGCAAGAAAAAAAAAGAAAGAAAAAACCCACUGAGGAUAAGACGAUAAACACCUCUACAUACUAGCACGUUGCCAUAUUUGUUUCAGAGCGUUUUCUUUUUGUGUGCGUGUGUGACAGGGUCUCACCCUGUCACCCAGGCUGGAGUGCAGUGGCAUGGUCUUGGCUCACGGCAGCCUCAGCCUCCCUGGUUUGAGCAAUCCUCCCACCUCAGCCUCCCGAGGAGCUGGGACUACAGGUACACACCACCAUGCCUGGCUAAAUUUUUUGUAUUUUUUGUAGAGACAGGGUUUCACCAUGUUAGCCAGGCUGGUCUCAAUUUCCUGUGCUCAGAUGAUCCACCCACCUCAGCCUCCCAAGGUGUUGGGAUAAUAGGCAUGAGCCACCGCACCCGGCCAGGGCUUUUUCUUAAGAAAUUAAACUCUGCAGCCCUCCUUUGACCCCUCCCUUAUUCUACUCCCCUUCCUUCCUAGAGAUCAUUCUUACCCUGAAGGUAGCUUUGAGAGCCAUGAAUAUUCUAAAAUUUUACAAAUAAAUUCGUAAUAAUUUAGCCUAUUAGUUAAUUUUUGAAACUAAUAAAUUAGCCCAUUACUGUUUCUUAGAUGCUGGCAGAAGACAUGAGACUCCUGGGUCAGAAACAAAGGAAAAUUUGUUCCAUAGCAACAGCAGCAUCAGCAUUUUUGCACCAAUAACCUGAGCCCCAGUUCCCACAGGGCAAUGCAAAGAGAGUCAGAUGACACCUACACACACAGUGGGUUAUAAGAAAGGAGCCCUGAGUUCUGGGACCUGAGCCUUUUAUCCUUGGCAGUGGCCAUGUCUGACCCUUGCCCCAUUAGGAAUCACUGUCUCCAUCUUCCAGGGUUAUACGAACAUCCUUCAAGGGAUGGUUCAGAACCAAGGACACUGGUAACUGACUGGCAGGACAUGCUGACAAGGGAAAGCUGUCUUCCAACAUUAGUUGUUCCUUUCUACCCAUGUUUUUAUACUUACGCUGCAUAUGACAUAUUCCUAAACCAUAUGUAUUGUUUUGUGGGUUUUUAAACUUUAUAUAAACGUCAUCAUAGUGUAUGUAUGACUUUUUCACUCAUUACAUUAUCCAAAUUCAUUCAAGUUGACACAUGUGGCUUAAGUUCAUUGAUUUAAACUGGCAAUAGUAUUUUACCAUGUGAAUAUUUCACAAUGCAUUUACCAUUUAUCCUGUUGAUGACAUUUAGGUGUUACAAUUUUUGGUCUUUUACGUUACUGCAAUGAACAUCCUUGUACCUGUCUCUUUGUACACAGGUGUGAGAGUUUUUCUUAGUGUCUGCAUUAGAAUGGGAUUUCUGUGUCUU